rnacentral:rRNA from 1 species
UACAGAGGGGGCAAGCGUUAUUCGGAAUUAUUGGGCGUAAAGGGCGCGUAGGCGGCCAGGCAAGUGGAAGGUGAAAUCCCUCAGCUUAACUGGGGAACUGCGUCCGAUACUGGAUGGCUUGAGUUUGGGAGAGGGAUGCGGAAUUCCAGGUGUAGCGGUGAAAUGCGUAGAUAUCUGGAGGAACACCGGUGGCGAAGGCGGCAUCCUGGACCAACACUGACACUGAGGAGCGAAAGCCAGGGGAGCAAACGGG